rnacentral:rRNA from 1 species
GACGAACCGAGCGAACGUUGUUCGGAAUCACUGGGCUUAAAGGGCGCGUAGGCGGGCUGUCAAGUCUGGGGUGAAAUCCCGCGGCUCAACCGCGGAACUGCCUCAGAUACUGACGGUCUCGAGGGAGGUAGGGGCGAGCGGAACUGAUGGUGGAGCGGUGAAAUGCGUUGAUAUCAUCAGGAACUCCGGUGGCGAAGGCGGCUCGCUGGACCUCUUCUGACGCUGAGGCGCGAAAGCCAGGGGAGCAAACGGG